AUUCUUUGUGGUUUUGAUUGUUGCUCAGAAAGCCUUGUAUUUGAAACGGCUUUCGAGUAAUAAUCAAUACCAGAAUGAAA
rnacentral:pre_miRNA from 1 species